AACGAACGCUGGCGGCGUGUUUAAGACAUGCAAGUCGCACGGGAUAAGACAUGUAGUAAUACUUGUUUUAUUUAGUGGCGCACGGGUGAGUAACACGUGAAUUACAUGCCCUAUAGUGGGGAAUAGCCCAGGGAAACUUGGAUUAAUACCCCAUGGUAUCGAAAGAUUAAAGGUGGCCGCAAGGCUGUCGCUAUAGGAUUGGUUCGCGCCCUAUCAGCUUGUUGGUGAGGUAACGGCUCACCAAGGCAAUGACGGGUACCUGGUCUGAGAGGACGAUCAGGAACACUGGAACUGAGACACGGUCCAGACACCUACGGGUGGCAGCAGUCGAGAAUAAUUCACAAUGGGGGCAACCCUGAUGGUGCAACGCCGCGUGGAGGAUGACGGUCUUCGGAUUGUAAACUCCUGUCAUCAGGGAGAAAGACCUGACGGUAAAUAGCCGGCAGGGUUGAUAGUACCAGAAGAGGAAGGGACGGCUAACUUCGUGCCAGCAGCCGCCGUAA
rnacentral:rRNA from 1 species